rnacentral:rRNA from 1 species
UCAGAAGGCACACCCGGAGAACUGAAACAUCUUAGUACCCGGAGGAAGAGAAAGAAAAUUCGAUUCCCUUAGUAGCGGCGAGCGAAACGGGAAGAGCCCAAACCAACAAGCUUGCUUGUUGGGGUUGUAGGACACUCUAUACGGAGUUACAAAGGACGACAUUAGACGAAUCAUCUGGAAAGAUGAAUCAAAGAAGGUAAUAAUCCUGUAGUCGAAAAUGUUGUCUCUCUUGAGUGGAUCCUGAGUACGACGGAGCACGUGAAAUUCCGUCGGAAUCUGGGAGGACCAUCUCCUAAGGCUAAAUACUCUCUAGUGACCGAUAGUGAACCAGUACCGUGAGGGAAAGGUGAAAAGCACCCCGGAAGGGGAGUGAAAUAGAACCUGAAACCGUGUGCUUACAAGUAGUCAGAGCCCGUUAAUGGGUGAUGGCGUGCCUUUUGUAGAAUGAACCGGCGAGUUACGAUUUGAUGCAAGGUUAAGCAGUAAAUGUGGAGCCGUAGCGAAAGCGAGUCUGAAUAGGGCGUUUAGUAUUUGGUCGUAGACCCGAAACCAGGUGAUCUACCCUUGGUCAGGUUGAAGUUCAGGUAACACUGAAUGGAGGACCGAACCGACUUACGUUGAAAAGUGAGCGGAUGAACUGAGGGUAGCGGAGAAAUUCCAAUCGAACCUGGAGAUAGCUGGUUCUCUCCGAAAUAGCUUUAGGGCUAGCCUCAAGUGAUGAUUAUUGGAGGUAGAGCACUGUUUGGACGAGGGGCCCCUCUCGGGUUACCGAAUUCAGACAAACUCCGAAUGCCAAUUAAUUUAACUUGGGAGUC